rnacentral:rRNA from 1 species
CCUACGGGAGGCAGCAGUGGGGAAUAUUGCACAAUGGGGGAAACCCUGAUGCAGCGACGCCGCGUGAGGGAUGAAGGAAUUCGGUAUGUAAAGCUCUAUCAGCAGGGAAGAAAAUGACGGUACCUGAGUAAGAAGCCCCGGCUAACUACGUGCCAGCAGCCGCGGUAAUACGUAGGGGGCAAGCGUGAUCCGGAUUUACUGGGGGUAAAGGGAGCGUAGACGGCAGUGCAAGUCUGGAGUGAAAGGCGGGGGCUCAACCACCGGACUGCUCUGGAAACUGUACGGCUGGAGUGCAGGAGAGGUUAGUGGAAUUCCUAGUGUAGCGGUGAAAUGCGUAGAUAUUAGGAGGAACACCAGUGGCGAAGGCGGCUUACUGGACUGUAACUGACGUUGAGGCUCGAAAGCGUGGGGAGCAAACAGGAUUAGAUACCCGUGUAGUC